GGGCGAGUAGCUCAGGUGGUUAGAGCGCGUCGCUGAUAACGACGAGGUCGGAGGUUCAAGUCCUCCCUCGCCCACCA
rnacentral:tRNA from 5 species